rnacentral:rRNA from 1 species
GACGAACGCUGGCGGCGUGCUUAACACAUGCAAGUCGAACGGAAAGGCCCUGCUUUUGUGGGGUGCUCGAGUGGCGAACGGGUGAGUAACACGUGAGUAACCUGCCCUUGACUUUGGGAUAACUUCAGGAAACUGGGGCUAAUACCGGAUAGGAGCUCCUGCGGCAUGGGGGGGGUUGGAAAGUUUCGGCGGGUGGGGAUGGACUUGCGGCUUAUCAGCUGGUUGGUGGGGUAGUGGCUUACCAAGGCUUUGACGGGUAGCCGGCCUGGGAGGGUGACCGGCCACAUUGGGCCUGAGAUACGGCCCAGACUCCUACGGGAGGCAGCAGUGGGGUAUAUUGCACGAUGGGCGGACGCCUGAUGCAGCAACGCCGCGUGCGGGAUGACGGCCUUCGGGUUGUAGACCGCUUUCGCCUGUGACGAAGCGUGAGUGACGGUAAUGGGUAAAGAAGCACCGGCUAACUACGUG